GAUUCGCAAACUGCCUUUCCAGCGUCUC
rnacentral:sRNA from 1 species